rfam:Dipodomys ordii contig_49239, whole genome shotgun sequence.
GGUGGCUCAGUGGUAGAGUGCUUGCCUAGCAUGCAUGAGGCCCUGGGUUCGAUUCCUCAGUACCA